CACCGGCAGCCCAAGUGGUGGCCACUUUUACUGGGUCUAAAGCGUUCGUAGCCGGCUAAGUAAGUUCCUUGGGAAAUUUGAUCGCUUAACGAUUAAGCUUUCAGGGAAUACUGUUUGGCUUGGGACCGGGAGAGGUCAGAGGUACCUCAAGGGUAGGGGUGAAAUCCGUUAAUCCUUGGGGGACCGCCAGUAGCGAAGGCGUCUGACCAGACCGGAUCCGACGGUGAGGGACGAAGGCUAGGGUAGCGAACCGGAUUAGAUACCCGGGUAGUCCUAGCUGUAAACGAUGCGGGCUAGGUGUUGGCAUUACUGCGAGUGAUGCCAGUGCCGAAGGGAAGCCGUUAAGCCCGCCAUCUGGGGAGUACGGUCGCAAGGCUGAAACUUAAAGGAAUUGGCGGGGGAGCACUACAACGGGUGGAGCCUGCGGUUC
rnacentral:rRNA from 1 species